AACGAACGCUGGCGGCAGGCCUAACACAUGCAAGUCGAGCGAACCCUUCGGGGUUAGCGGCGGACGGGUUAGUAACGCGUGGGAAUAUACCCUUUGGUACGGAAUAGCCUCGGGAAACUGAGAGUAAUACCGUAUGUGCCCUUCGGGGAAAGAUUAUCGCCAAAGGAUUAGCCCGCGUUGGAUUAGAUAGUUGGUGGGGUAAUGGCCUACCAAGUCUACGAUCCAUAGCUGGUUUGAGAGGAUGAUCAGCAACACUGGGACUGAGACACGGCCCAGACUCCUACGGGAGGCAGCAGUGGGGAAUCUUAGACAAUGGGCGCAAGCCUGAUCUAGCCAUGCCGCGUGGACGAUGAAGGCCUUAGGGUUGUAAAGUCCUUUCAGAUGGGAAGAUAAUGACGGUACCAUCAGAAGAAGCCCCGGCUAACUCCGUG
rnacentral:rRNA from 1 species